GAUGAACGCUGGCGGCGUGCCUAAUACAUGCAAGUCGAGCGAACGGACGAGAAGCUUGCUUUUCUGAUGUUAGCGGCGGACGGGUGAGUAACACGUGGAUAACCUACCUAUAAGACUGGGAUAACUUCGGGAAACCGGAGCUAAUACCGGAUAAUAUUUUGAACCGCAUGGUUCAUAAGUGAAAGACGGUCUUGCUGUCACUUAUAGAUGGAUCCGCGCUGCAUUAGCUAGUUGGUAAGGUAACGGCUUACCAAGGCAACGAUGCAUAGCCGACCUGAGAGGGUGAUCGGCCACACUGGAACUGAGGCACGGUCCAGACUCCUACGGGAGGCAGCAGUAGGGAAUCUUCCGCAAUGGGCGAAAGCCUGACGGAGCAACGCCGCGUGAGUGAUGAAGGUCUUCGGAUCGUAAAACUCUGUUAUUAGGGAAGAACAUAUGUGUAAGUAACUGUGCACAUCUUGACGGUACCUAAUCAGAAAGCCACGGCUAACUACGUG
rnacentral:rRNA from 1 species